rnacentral:lncRNA from 12 species
UUGCUAUGUGAAUUUCAAAGCCCAGAAAAUGUAAAAAGGAGCAACAUUUGCUGAAGGCAUCAGAGAAGUGAAUGCAAUCAAGCAGUGUUGGUUUGUGACCUUGAAGCUUCCCAGAAUAGCUACCACAUUUGGAAUAAUGGAAGCCCUGGAUUCAAAUGCCUCAGGAUGACCUCAUCAGCAGCAGCCCCCUUCCUCCUACUGUGAUGUCUCCAGGCUUUAUGUCAAUGUUUAGUCCGUUAGCAGGAAUCCAGAAAAUCAGGCUUUUGUUUUCAAAAAUACAAAAUAAAGGCAGCCAUUGUGGAAUAUUGCAUAACUGAUUUAAUCCUAAUGUGAUGUCAAAACAAAUUUACCCCGCAGUUGAGAGAACGCUUUAUCUACCACGGAUACCAUUGCUGUGUGGAUGCUGGGUGCUCUUCCAAUAAAUUGUUGGGCAGUUGUUUUCAUGAACUCUCAGAAUUCUCCAUCCCAGGCACAUUUCUGUGGGGUAAUUAAAACAGGCUUUUUAUAAUAGCAGUCUGAAACAGUAUGCAUCAUCUAUACACACUGAGCUGAAAAAAUAUUGUAUUCAUAAAUUAAAUUGGACAUUUUGAAAGGUUAACGCAAAAAGCUACUUUGCUCUUGGUAAUCAAUAAGGAAAAAAGGAUUUCAGGUAAUUAAAAUCUGUGAAGUGAACAUUUCUCAUUUGGAACCUAUUAAAAAGAAUAUAAGCAGACAGAGGCAAGAGAUAAAUAUGGAAAACAAGUGCUUCAGAAUUUUUGUUAAAUGUUGGCAAGGGAAUAAUAACGUAUAUUGAGAGGUCUGAAAGGAUAUAACAUGUUAUUAUAGAUAAUAUAGCAAAUUAUACAGUCUGUAUAUAAGUUAUGUGUGUGUAUUAUUUAAUUUAUACAUUAGGCUGUGAUUUUAAAAUAUGAGUAUUCUUUAUUUUGGGCUCCAGUUUAGCUAUUAUGUAUGUCUUUCUUACUUAAGGUGUGACUCAGGAACCAGUAUGAACCAUGGAUGCUUGGGAAAAUACAGAAUUCCAGGUCCAUCUCUGACCUGCUGAAUCAGGAUUUGCAAUUUCAUGAGAUCCCUUGGGGAUUCAUGCGUACACUACAGUCUGAGAACAUGGCUUUGGGUGAUUGUCUCAUAGUAAGCACUUCCUUCGGGACAGUUGGUGGUCUCGUUAGAGACAGAAGAGCCCAGCCAGCAUAUCCAGGGCUAGGUAUUUCCGACCUAUAAUGGUGCAUCUGGGAGAGACUGGAGAUGAAUGGGCUGAGAGUUUUGACCGUCAAAUGAUGAAGCUCACGUGAGUGCCACUGUGAAUACAGUUAUUUCUGGGAGUAAACCUUCUUUUCCCCUUGUCUCCUUGGACUUUGGUAGAAUGUCUUCUCAUGAACGUCUCGGUGGGUUCUGUCCUUGCUUAACAAAUCCGGCUCCUAGGUCGUCUGUGUAGUACAUGCUCUCAGAAUCUCCAAUGUGCCAGACCCAGGCAGCUGUUCCUGUUUGAUUGUCGACUCAACUAUGAACUGUUCCUCCUGACAUUUGCUUGUGAAGAUAGCUUUGGCAGACUUGUGAAGAAGCAGACAAGGCGAUUUUGUGUCGGUGAAAAUGCAUCAACAUUUUAAUUGUUUUAGUUCCUUUUCUGUCCAGAGAGCUCUUGAAACUUUGCCCAUUCUGCCUGGAAAUCCUGGACAUUGAUUCCGCCUUGGGGGUUCGUGGUGCUCAGGUAUAUGCAUCUGGCCCCAUUUCUCUUCAGUGUGAUUUCACAUUUAUAAAUUAUUGGUUUUUUCCCCCCUUUGUAAUAAGGCACAGUAUAAGAUACUAGGGCAAGAGGGGGGAAUAGUUACCAUUACUAUUCAUGGAGAACUAGAAAUAUGGCAAAACUAUCUUGCUCCCUUGGAGCAUUUGGAAUGAACCACCAUGACUCGGAAGCAUUUUGUGAAUUUGCAAAGAUCUUUAAGACUAACCAUAGUUUACAGUGUUAAUUUUGUAUUGAUUUUUAGCCAUUUCAAAUGCGAGAGAUGUAGCUUAGCAUGGCUUCUAGACUUUUUAAUUAGGUCUGUAUAUUUAAGUCCAAACUAUUGAUGGAGCUUUUAUGAAUUGUUUUAAGGUUUAGGAGGAAAAACAAAAGAAAGAAGCAUUUUAUCCUUUUACUUAGUGCUGAUUUUCCUUAUGGUGAUUGAAGUGAAUACAAAGGGAAAUUUUACUCUUGUUAGAAUAUUUUGAAUAUUUUAAAACUUUUACAGUACUAGGCUUUCAUAUCAUUCCACUCUAAGUGUUAGAGCAUGACAUUCUCAGAAUCCAGUGUUAAAAUAAAACUUCAUAAAAUAAGAAAUUGUUAAGUUUA